rnacentral:rRNA from 1 species
GGAAUUUUCCGCAAUGGGCGAAAGCCUGACGGAGCAACGCCGCGUGAGGGAUGAAGGCCUCUGGGCUGUAAACCUCUUUUAUCAAGGAAGAAGAUCUGACGGUACUUGAUGAAUAAGCCACGGCUAAUUCCGUGCCAGCAGCCGCGGUAAUACGGGAGUGGCAAGCGUUAUCCGGAAUUAUUGGGCGUAAAGCGUCCGCAGGCGGCCCUUCAAGUCUGCUGUUAAAAAGUGGAGCUUAACUCCAUCAUGGCAGUGGAAACUGUUGGGCUUGAGUGUGGUAGGGGCAGAGGGGAUUCCCGGUGUAGCGGUGGAAUGCGUAGAUAUCGGGAAGAACACCAGUGGCGAAGGCGCUCUGCUGGGCCAUAACUGACGCUCAUGGACGAAAGCCAGGGGAGCGAAAGGGAUUAGAUACCCCUGUAGUC